rnacentral:lncRNA from 1 species
CAUGUGAAAUAAGUUACUUAUAAAGAAUGUUUGUAGCACUGCUAUUCAUAACAAUCUCAAAUCAGAACUAACCAAAAAGCCGGGCAGUGGGGAAUUGGCUAAGAAAAUCACAAUCUAUAAAUGUAAUGUAACCCAAUGUUACCUUUAAGCACAAGUAAACAGUGAUUAAGGUGGAAAUUUGUAAAAAGCAGAAUUAAGAUAGUGCUUAGACAUGGAUUACAACGAUGUAAAAUGUGAAAAUCUCUAAGAAGUCAGCAGAUAAACUGAAGAGAUGUCCACAGUUAGAUGUACAAGUUUAGGGAGUUCCCUAUUUUCUGUUAGGUUGCUUAAGUUCAUCAACCUCUGAGCUUGGUCUUAAGCAAGCAUGAAUAGUUCUACUGAUUAAUGUUGCAUUUUGACUUAUGCUGCUAUGCCAGGGAGGAUGAUGGGCUGUUUUUUCUUUGAUAAACAGCUUCUAUGUUCUCAUUUAUCCAUUCAACAAAUAACAAUGUUUAUGUGCCAGGCACUAUAUGAAACUGCAUGGAUACAAUAGUGAACGAGUCAGACAUGGUUCCCGGCCUCCAUGGCUCUUGUGAUUUAGUGGGAAGGAAGGACACAACACCAAAAAUCAUAUGUGAUUUGGGCACACUGAAAGGAUUCAUGAUUCUGAGGAAUUAACAAGGAAAGCAAAUUAGUCAGAUGCACUGGGGAUGAUUUCUUUGAGGAAGAGAUGACAUAGAAUAUUAUCUGUUGAGGACUAUGGGAGAGAGUGCAUGAGGGAACAGCAAAUGGGGAGACGGGAAAGGGAGAAAAGAAAGUGUGUGUUUGACGAACUAAAAGAAGGCCUGCAGGGCUGGAACACAGGAAGCUAAGGCAAGAGUGGUAUAGACUGCAAAGAGGCAGGGAAAGUGCGAAGAGACCAGGUUAUACAGAACUUUCUUAAAGAUAUUGGCAUAAUAUAAAAUGGAGUGGGGGUGAAGAAUAUAAGUGAACACUAAAAAACCCUUUAUAAGCUAGUCCAUCAACCCAUGGUAGCAUUGGCAAUAGAAAUACAUGGAUUUAAAGGAUUCUUAAGAUGUAGAGCAACAGGACUAGGAGGCUGAUAAAUGCAAAGUGAGAGGAAAGUCAAGGAUGACUCCUAGAUUUCUGGCUGGAGCUGGGUUGCACAGUGGUGCCAUUUUCCGAGGUGGGGAACACUGAUGGAGCAAGUUUGAUAAGGCAAGAGCAGUUUGGGGGUUUGUUGGGUUUGAGGAGCCUAAGAAAUAUCUAAGCGAAGAUGACCAGCAGGCAGGUAAAUGGAUUACAAGUUGAAGUUCAGGAGAGAAGUGUACAUGUGAAGGGCGUCAAUCAGUCAUUGACCUUGGUAGUGAAUGGGAGAGCCUAGCAAGUAUGUACAGGCUGAAAAGAAGAGGGCUUAUGAGACAAAACCCCGAGAAGCUAUAGCAAGUAAAGAAGAAACUGGCAAAUAAGAGAGAGAUCAAGCUGGGUGUGGUGGCAUGUACCUGUAGUCUCAGCUUCUCAGCAGGCUGACGUGGGAGGAUUGUUUGAGCCUAGGAAUUCAAGGCUGCAGUGAGCUAUGAUGGUGACAGCCU